ACGAACGCUGGCGGCGUGCCUAAUACAUGCCAGUCGAGCGGACGAAUCGAAAGCUUGCUUUUGAUUCGUUAGCGGCGGACGGGUGAGUAACACGUGGGCAACCUGCCCUGUAGACGGGGAUAACACCGAGAAAUCGGUGCUAAUACCGGAUAACACGAAAUGUCGCAUGACGUUUCGUUGAAAGACGGCGCAAGCUGUCGCUACAGGAUGGGCCCGCGGCGCAUUAGCUAGUUGGUGAGGUAACGGCUCACCAAGGCGACGAUGCGUAGCCGACCUGAGAGGGUGAUCGGCCACACUGGGACUGAGACACGGCCCAGACUCCUACGGGAGGCAGCAGUAGGGAAUCUUCCGCAAUGGACGAAAGUCUGACGGAGCAACGCCGCGUGAGCGAAGAAGGCCUUCGGGUCGUAAAGCUCUGUUGUUAGGGAAGAACAAGUAACGCAGUAACUGGCGUUACCGUGACGGUACCUAACGAGGAAGCCACGGCUAACUACGUG
rnacentral:rRNA from 1 species